rnacentral:rRNA from 1 species
GAUGAACGCUGGCGGCGUGCUUAACACAUGCAAGUCGAGCGAAGCACUUAAGUUUGAUUCUUCGGAUGAAGACUUUUGUGACUGAGCGGCGGACGGGUGAGUAACGCGUGGGUAACCUGCCUCAUACAGGGGGAUAACAGUUAGAAAUGACUGCUAAUACCGCAUAAGACCACAAGGUCGCAUGACCCGGUGGUAAAAACUCCGGUGGUAUGAGAUGGACCCGCGUCUGAUUAGCUAGUUGGUGGGGUAACGGCUCACCAAGGCGACGAUCAGUAGCCGACCUGAGAGGGUGACCGGCCACAUUGGGACUGAGACACGGCCCAAACUCCUACGGGAGGCAGCAGUGGGGAAUAUUGCACAAUGGGGGAAACCCUGAUGCAGCGACGCCGCGUGAAGGAUGAAGUAUUUCGGUAUGUAAACUUCUAUCAGCAGGGAAGAAAAUGACGG